AAGUCGUAACAAGGUUUCCGUAGGUGAACCUGCGGAAGGAUCAUUACAGAGUUCAUGCCCUUCGGGGUAGACCUCCCACCCUUGUGUAUUUAUACCUUUGUUGCUUUGGCAGGCCGCCAGGCUCUGUCCUGGCUACCGGCCCCGGCUGGUACGUGCCUGCCAGAGGACCCCAAACUCUGAAUGUUAGUGUCGUCUGAGUACUAUAUAAUAGUUAAAA
rnacentral:misc_RNA from 1 species